UACGUAGGAGGCAAGCGUUGUCCGGAUUUACUGGGCGUAAAGCGCGCGCAGGCGGCAGUGUAAGUAAGGUGUGAAAUCUCCCUGCUCAACGGGGAGGGUGCAUUUUAGACUGCACAGCUAGAGGUCGGUAGAGGGGGGUGGAAUUGCUGGUGUAGCGGUGAAAUGCGUAGAGAUCAGCAGGAACACCCGUGGCGAAGGCGGCCCCCUGGGCCGUACCUGACGCUGAGGCGCGAAGGCUAGGGGAGCGAACGGG
rnacentral:rRNA from 1 species